AGCUUCAUUUGCUCAUAAAAAUCCAUGAAAACAUUGGAUAAUAUAUUGUGCUAUGGAAAAUCCAAUUUUAGCAAAUCUGUUCUGCAUUUACAGGAAGUAAUGUCAACAGUUAGGGAAAGAUUGGGAGAGUGAAGUAUAUGAUUCUAUGAACACUUGCAGCACCAUCAGCAGAAUUGCAUAAUUCAUCUAGAGAUUCAGAAAUAUCACGAUACAAUGUUGAAAGACCUUAUGAAGCUUACAAUAAAUUUUUUCUCUAGAGAGAGAGGUGGGAACUGAUUGGGGUGGUGAUAUUUUCGGAGGGAUUUCAGGCUUAUGAGGGGAAGAAUGGACAAAGAAAGUGACGCAGUAAAGUUUAUGAUGCUUCUGUAACAAAAAGCAGUAUGCUGGUAGAACAUGCUGGUAGAACAAGGCAGCAAUGGCGCUACCAAAGAUUGGCAGGAAGAUGUCGUCAACAUAUCUUAUCAUUUGGAUUCUAAUCAAGGGCCCCUAAAGAUUUUGACCUUUGAAAAUCUGCCCUGUUGCUCCUUCUCAGAGGGCUGCCUCAAGACUGACCAUUCCAUCAUAAAACCACAGUGCGAUGUCAUCAACUGUGCGAAGUCAACAAGAGUUUAAUCAAGUAUGUAGAUUAAUUCUAAUCUUCCCUAGAUAUAAUGGUACCUUCAACAAACUAAAGGAUGGCUUUUAGUCGCAAAACAGUUCUUUUUAAUCUAUCAACCAGAUGCUUAUUCCAUAAGACGCGGCAACGUGUUACGUAUCAAAGAAAGUAUGACUGAAAUGAGAUUCUGGUUCACUCCAAGUGUUUUUAACAUAACGUUUGUUGAUUCUGCUUCUUGGUUUACUAAUCUUGAUAAAUCCCCAGGUUAACGUAUCAUUUUAUUAAAAUAUCUGAAUUUUUCAUGGGCAACCUGUCUUUCCACGUGCAUACUCAGUGAGAAAAAAAUGUAUGGCAAGUUUUACUGGCGUGUUACAAAAAAUUCAAUUCUUAUUACAAGUCUGUACGUACACAUAAACAUCAACACAAACUUAUAAGUGUCUAAAAGAAAGAUUUUUUAACUAGUCGGUAACGAGGAAAACCGAUGCCGUAUAAGCAGAUAUGAAAAUACCAUCUGUGUGUUUAACAAACGGUAUUAAACUGUUACACCUGAAAUCAAGCUCAGGUUGAUCAUAAGGCAACAUGUUUGCUGCAUUUCAAAUACCUCCACAUAGGAUAAUCAUUCUUGGACUGUGAUGACAAUUCAGUGUUUUAUAAUGUACGAAGAAUGAGUACAUGAAGAGGGGGUGCUCGAUCAACCGAAAGGAAGGUAUAUAUAUAUCUCUCAAUAUCGUAGGACAGUGCACAAUACAUUUGCACGUAGAGUGUAAUAUAGCAUAGAGUGGGAGAAAAAAAAACUACAUGUUUUAUCUCUACAAGCCUGUUUCGUGAAUAACUCAAUCUUCAGGAGAUGUUGAUACACUGAGAUAUUCCUCGUAUAAAUACAGAAGUUGGUACGAAAGGUUUUACAUAUCUAUCAAUAUCUAUCAAUUUGUAGAAUUGUAGCCAACCGUGUAACAAUGGAUCGGCAUUUUCAUGACUCGAACAAUGGACACGCACAGGCCGAAUUCAAAGGCCUGAGACAAUCGAAACAAUGCACGCAUAGAAAGCCGAAAUCAAAGGAUUUUCCCAAUUUUCCCAAACGAACAAUCGAGAAUCGUGAGUUUCCCGAUUAAGUAGGCAAUUAAGGUUCGCUAAUCAACACUUUGGUCUUUAAUCAUGCUAUUAAAUUGGGUUCGGCUGCUAGCGUGCGAUCCCCUUUAUAGUCAUCCUCUUCGAUUCGACCAAUCGUCUUUAGAUUUGCUCGUCACAUUGUGCAGUUAUAAUUGGUUCUGCACGUGCAUGUUGAACGGUAGCCAGAAUAGAUCAGAAACUUCUCGUAAUUGAGAAUGGUUGUUUCAUCUUGUUCAGCGUCGUCAACAUAAUUAGGCGUAUAAUUUGCAAUUUGCUAUGUGGGGUACAAAAGAAAGUGCGGCAAUAUGCGAUUUCACGAGUUUCUGCAAGAAUUAACUUUCAUGCAUGAGACCUGGAAAGGCACUUGGGACAUUUGAAGAUUCUGAAGCAAGGGCGGGAAAGUGUUACAAAUCUGUUUAGUUUUUCGCAAGUUUUGCAAAGUUGGCGAAAAUUAUUCGAAGGUUUCCAGGCUUUGCAAAAUUUUUGCAAAACGCUUGCAGGGACUUUUCAAUUUUCUCUGGGGUUGAUCCAAAAUUCACUCGAAAUUCUUCAGACCCCAUGUUUUAUAAAGAAAGGGCGAAUAUGUUGGAUAAGGUAGUUUGGUGUAGCAAUAACAUAGAAACAAUGGAAAUUUGUUAAACUUCCGAGGUUACGAGACCAAUAGUUACGCGAAUAAUCAAUUAAUAAUCUUGCGAUUUGUGACUACAUUUCUUAAUCAAAUAGUUGAAUUGCCGAGUUGAAGAAAUCUUUGAAUUCGCAACUUGGAAGUUUACGAAAUUAAAAGUUUGCCCGGUCGCAAUUAGGUACAAAAGAUUCCCCUUCGUAAUCAAGUAAUUGCACUGCCGCGAGAUCAUUGCCGUAUUUAAUCGAGUGAGCGCCGCGGCGCUCUUUUAAUUUCCGGUACUUUUGAAGCGGCGCUUAUUCGGGGCGGUGCUUUUUAAAAACCCUGCCAUUUUUUAAUAAAACAAAAAAGUUUUAAACAAUCAUUUAACAGUAAAACAUACAAAUUUAAAAAUACCUUUAAAGGUUCAUAAAAUUUCAAUGUCACUGUUGUCUUCACUGUCGGAGACCAACUGAAUGCUUGUUGGUCAUGUUCCGGUGAAGUUGUCACGCUUGAUGAAGAAUUUUCUCGAAGCAAACACAGAAAAUAAACAGAUCGCACAAGGUACAGGAAAAAGAAAAAGAAAUUGGCCUUGUUGUUCCAGCAAAGUUCUCUGCCUUCACGACAGAUGUACACAUUGCCAAGAAUCUGAAGAGAGAGUUAAAUAAGAAAGCUUUAAAAUAUUUUCACUUUGAAC